GAGAAGAUGAAGUUAUUGCCAUGGUUGGGUCUCCAUCAUAAAUCAAAAAAUUACCCCAAAAAUGGAAAAAAUUGGAUGUUUGUGUGUAUUAUGUAUUGGUGACCGUGCAUAGUCUUGUGGAGUUCAUUUGAGCAAAAACAAUGGCUUUCGCUGGCACCUUGCGAUGCCCACCAUCUAUUUGCCACUUAUCAAGUUCAAUUCCAUCUGUAUCUCCUUCUUCGCUCUCUUUCCAUUUUCCACUUUCAAUUUUCAAUAGCAAAAGAUCCCUCUUGUCCAUCAGGUCAGCUUCGGUGGAAGGUAAACUUCUUGAAUACAUAAAUGUGGAAUUAUAUCAAUUUAUCGAGGUUUAUUUAUUAUUAUUAUUAUUAUUAUUAUUAUUAUUUGGAUAAUAAAAUAUAGAGAAUAAGUGGGAUACUUCAAGAGUUUGGUGAGACGACUUUUUUGCCUCUGAAUGUUUGAUUUAUUGCCUUUGUGAUUCAGUGAAAAUCUGACACCGGGGGCGUCGAAGCCUUUCUCCCAUAUUCAAGCCUAAAAUGAGCUUGAAAAUAAUAUGUUUAUGAAGAAAUAGAUUCAUGGAUUGUGAAUAUUUUUUUGGAAAUGACAGUACUAGCGUGGAAUACACUGUGAAGUGAAAUUUAAUAAAGGAAGGAGAUAAGAAAAUAUUGAGGCUUUGGGAAAGAAAAUUUCAAAAAUAAAUACAUAAUAUAUUGUUCUUCAAGAGUGAAUAAUGAUGAUCCACUCUAGUUAUUGAUACUUUCUCUUGUUUUACAACAUUUGGACCAUGCCGAAGAAACCAUUUGCAACAUCAGAGCAGAAAGCAUAGGAUGAUUAAAUAAUUUGAUGAUUAUUCAUGUGGACUUAAAUAACAUGAUAAUAAUUCUUUUUGAUGAGGGGGUUCUUGAUUUUCAAUAGGCCUUUGCUGUUAAAUAAAUAAUUUGAUGGUUAUUCACGUGGACUUAAAUUUUUCACAGGGAUACUGAUGUAGUAAGUGGAUUUAGACUGUACAUGGUUUCUUCUUGUUUCUGAUGUAUGGACCAAAUUGUUUAGGAUUUCAUGAUUACAAAAAAAAAAAAAAAAGGUUUGUUACUAUUGUGUUAUAGUUUAUGGAUUGCAUAAAACUAGUAAGAGAAACCUUUUGGUAUAGAAGAUAAUGUGAUCUAUUCACUGUGGAUACGUUGAACUUCAUUACUACAUUUUUCUAGCAAUGCACUUGUGACUAUGCUUUGUUUGCAUUUACUCUAAGUGAUAACUGAUAACCACUCCCCUAAAGUAAGGCCUUGAUUUGUGGGUUUAUACUUAACCACCAUUUCAUUACAAACAAGUUUGGAGGGUGAGUCCAAUCUAGCAUGGCCAUGGCUAUUGUAUGAGACUAGCCACCAUUCUCAGGACGAUCCUCAUUGCCAAUAGGUGAAUUGGGAGGGAGGGUUACUUAAAAGUAAAAGAUGGGUUUAUUAAUGUAGCCCAUUGAGAAUAUGGUCCAUCACGGACGUCGACUUUGAAAUGAGUGGAGUGUAAUAACCCUAAUGUGUCUUAUAUUGUUAAGGCUUGACUUGUGGACAUGUAAUCACUUGGGAACCCUCCCCUUACAUGUAAGUUUUAAGUCUAAAUUCUACUGAAUGUGGUUUUAGCAUCUCGAGCAAUAUGAAAAUAUUUUGCAAUGUCAGCCGCCUUAAUGGACUUAAUUGUAUGUAAAUCUUGACAUUUCAAAUAAUUUGAUAAUAUAGUAGGGCAAAUAAGAGUCCUUUAUUGGUAUUGCAUGAAUCCCAUGGUCCCUCGGUCUUCAACUUUGCCACUUGAGCUACAUCUCAUUUGCAUAUUGUAGAGAAUUUAGAGAUUAGGCAAUGUUGUUGACAAAGAUUCUGCUUAAACAUGGUCCACGGAUUAUUUAGUGUAGAUAUAAUUAUGAUGCCAUCUGUUAGGUUCUUGGAUUUUGAUAUUUUAUUUUUCUAAUAAUCUUUCAACCAUGGUAGCAAGAAAAUUUUCUUAUUUAUUUCAAAAGCAUAAUGGCAUGAGGAAGAUUGGUUUGUCAAUUUGGUUUCGUUUUGAAAAUGCCCAUUUUAGCAAUUUACGGGAAAAGCCAUUUAAUAGCUCUUAGGGUUAGUAUGCAUUAUUCUUAUCGAAUUUUAUUGUGUAUGUAGUGCUAAAUAACGUUUUGAAAGCAUCUUCUUUAUUAAUUAUAUUCAAUGUUGUCCAAUCCAACAUACAAUACAUGCCCGAAAACUUUAUGUCCUCUUAUUUUCCUCCAUUGCAUUUUCUUACAGGAUAAAUUAGGUGAAUGGAUUUUCAAGAGUAGAAGCAGAG
rnacentral:lncRNA from 1 species